GCGCUGGGAGAAGACAUGAAAAAUUAGAACAGGAGCUCAGAGCACUCGGGAGAGCAGGGGAAAUGACAGUUGAAAUUAGAACAGGAGCUAAGAGGAGCCAGCAGAAGGGGACGGCAGGAACUAGGAAAUUUAAGGCGGGGAGAAACAACUGAGAGAAGUGGACAGAAAAAAGAAAGCUUAGCAUAAAUAAGAAGGCCCGGGACUCCCGUGCGUCCAGUAGACCUGCUCUGCUAUGGAUCAAAACAAAUGAUUUGUCAUUCUGAAAUGACUCUGAAAGGGGGAAUGGAAUGUGCCCCAACGAUCAAUAUUAAAUUUUAUGCCUGCUGCACCUUUCAAAAGGCUCAAGAAGACAUUGAUUCAAGACCCGUGUUUUCUGUAUGAGUCCACAAGAUCGAAGACUUUAUGGACAGAAGUCAUGUAUCUUCAACACAGAAAAUCCUAGAACCUCCUUUGAUGUUGACCGAGGUUGUCUUGCCUCCAGAAAUAAGAGAUUCUGCUCCAUGCUGGCGGGGGUGAGUUACAAAACCAUGACUAAGAUUCUUAAUGGUCCUAUCACUCUUCGUUAACACAUAUAAGCAGGGCUGGUUAAUUGUUAACCGACAAAAAAGCAAAAACUGCAAUAAUAAAGUUUGAAGUGGUCAGACAGAGAAGAAUUAGUCACUGGAGUGAGCCUCUAAUAUUGUAAUAAGACAUGUGGCUUUCAAGUUGCCAUUGAAAUGAUUAGGAGGCAGGGCGUGGUGGUGCAUGCCUGUAAUUCCAGCACCUUGGGAGGCUGAGGUGGGAGGGUUGCUUGAGCACAAGGGUUUGUGAUCAGCCUGGGCAACAUGGCAAGACUCUGUCUCUACAAAAAACUAAAAAAUUAGCUAUGCAUGGUGGCUCACGCCUGUAGUCCCAGCUACUUGGGAGGCUGAGGUAGGAGGUUCACUUGAGCCUGAGAGAUUGAGGCUGCACUUAGCGUGAUUGUGCCACUGCACUCCAUUGUGGGUUUCAGAGUGAGACCCUGGUCUCAAAAAAAAAAAAAAAAUAUUAGGGGAACCAAGUAUAAUUGUUAAGAAUGAACAUGAGCCAAUUUAAUUUGGUUUUAGAGUACCAAAAACUCUAAAAGGGAUUGUUGCAUUAGAACAAGAAACAGUGAGAAGUACGUAGAUCAAAUAAAAACCUGGAAAAAACUUUAAGAAAAAAAGAAAGAAAAUCUAAUAAAUGGCACUGCUACUUGGAGAAGUUGGAGCAAAUCUUCCUUGCCAGGGAAGCUUGAAUUACCUGCAUAUCUCUUUAAGCAUUUUCACGUACAAAUCAAACACAGAUGGCCCAUUACGUUUAUGACCUCACUGUCGAUUCCUCUAGAUGGAGCAUGCAUUAAUUAUUGAAAUAUUUUCAUAGUAUACAAGUUUUUAGUGGGCUACAUUGCCACAGAUAAUUUCAACUUUCUGAUUAGAAGCUGGUAUAAACAAUUUUAUUUAUGAGAAUUAAUCUCUUAAAUGUAGUAAACACUACGAAUACAGUAGUGAUUUUUUUU
rnacentral:lncRNA from 10 species